GUUUUGCCUAUUGCCCAUGCUGCCGAUUUUUUGGUGGGUCUCCUUGUGUGACCAGAGAGCAGGGGCGCGUCGUCGCGUCGACGUGCAUGGGCGCGCUUGGGUCAAAUAUCCGGAACAAGGCACACACGAGUCGACUCGGGACAGUUGGUCUGCAACCACACCCAUAUCGUCGGAUUGUAGCGCCGUGCGCAAACUGCCGCGUGCGCGCAGUGGCCGGCGCAGUCGGGCAUUGUCGCACAGAAGAGGGCGUGGAGGUAGGCGAAAAAGGCCACAUUGCCGUGACGCUCUCUCGCCACGACGCACAUGCCCCCGUGCACAAACCGCGGUAUGUAAAUGUCUCGGCGCAGAAACCAAUCGACGCUCUCACGCCGUCGGGCAAGACACGCAUCGCCAAAGACGUCAUAGAGCAAUGGCCACACGUGAUCGUCCUUCAUGCCCGCAAUGCCGAGUUCGCGCAAUUGCUCUCGCCAUGCGUUACGCCUGUGGUCUAUGGGGAGGAGGGCGCGCCUGUGCUCCCACAUCCAGUCGAGAACGUCGACACGGCCGCGCCGCGCCGCCUCGCGAAAGAGAUGCUCGCCACAAAUUCGACGCUGCUCGGGUGCGUCUUUGAUAAUGUCGAACGAGGCCUUGAUCGCGUUGAUGGAGGGCUCGCACACCAAGAACGAUGUGACGUUAUCCGAUGCUGCGAAAAGAUUGGCCAGGCGGGUGGGGCCAGGCGGCACACGAAACCAACGGCAGGUCGAGAUGCAGGCACAGAAAUCGCGGGGAUCGUCUAUUGCGUCCAUGAUGAGCGCGGCGAUUUCGCUCGGUAGGUCGGUCAGACACAGAGACAUCGGCGACGAUGCACCCCACGCAGAAUGGGCGGAUACACUAUCGGCAACGGCUGUCAUUCUUUUUGCCCUUUUGUAUGCCAGUCCGCAGCCCCCUUCGCGCCGAGCAAUUUGGCUCACUUUUUGAAAAAGAAAAUAGACCAAUGCAAGCAGAGCGA
rnacentral:lncRNA from 1 species